rnacentral:rRNA from 1 species
CGGGGGGGUGCUAUAAUGCAGUCGAGCGCGGGAAGCGAGUGGAUCCCUUCGGGGUGAAGCUCGUGGAACGAGCGGCGGACGGGUGAGUAACACGUGGGCAACCUGCCUGUAAGAUCGGAAUAACCCCGGGAAACCGGGGCUAAUGCCGGGUAAUACUUUCUUUCGCAUGAAGGAAAGUUGAAAGAUGGCUUCUCGCUAUCACUUACAGAUGGGCCCGCGGCGCAUUAGCUAGUUGGUGAGGUAACGGCUCACCAAGGCGACGAUGCGUAGCCGACCUGAGAGGGUGAUCGGCCACACUGGGACUGAGACACGGCCCAGACUCCUACGGGAGGCAGCAGUAGGGAAUCUUCCGCAAUGGACGAAAGUCUGACGGAGCAACGCCGCGUGAACGAUGAAGGUCUUCGGAUCGUAAAGUUCUGUUGUUAGGGAAGAACAAGUACCGUGCGAAUAGAGCGGUACCUUGACGGUACCUAACGAGGAAGCCCCGGCUAACUACGUGCCAGCAGCCGCGGUAAUACGUAGGGGGCAAGCGUUGUCCGGAAUUAUUGGGCGUAAAGCGCGCGCAGGCGGUUCCUUAAGUCUGAUGUGAAAGCCCACGGCUCAACCGUGGAGGGUCAUUGGAAACUGGGGAACUUGAGGACAGAAGAGGAGAGUGGAAUUCCACGUGUAGCGGUGAAAUGCGUAGAUAUGUGGAGGAACACCAGUGGCGAAGGCGACUCUCUGGUCUGUUUCUGACGCUGAGGUGCGAAAGCGUGGGUAGCAAACAGGAUUAGAUACCCUGGUAGUCCACGCCGUAAACG